rnacentral:rRNA from 1 species
AUGAGGCGAACCCGGGGAACUGAAACAUCUAAGUACCCGGAGGAAAAGAAAUCAACCGAGAUUCCCCUAGUAGCGGCGAGCGAACGGGGAUUAGCCCUUAAGCAUAGAGGGUGUUAGUGGAAUGCGUUGGAAAGCGCAGCGGCACAGGGUGAUAGCCCCGUACAUGAAAACUAACUUUAUGUGAAAACGAGUAGGACGGGACACGUGACAUCUUGUCUGAACAUGGGGGGACCAUCCUCCAAGGCUAAAUACUCCUGACUGACCGAUAGUGAACCAGUACCGUGAGGGAAAGGCGAAAAGAACCCCUGUGAGGGGAGUGAAAUAGAACCUGAAACCGUAUACGUACAAGCAGUGGGAGCGGUUCUUGAGACCGUGACUGCGUACCUUUUGUAUAAUGGGUCAGCGGCUUACAUUUUGUAGCAAGGUUAAGCGAAUAGCGGAGCCGUAGGGAAACCGAGUGUUAACUGCGCGUUUAGUUGCAAGGUGUAGACCCGAAACCCGGUGAUCUAGCCAUGGGCAGGUUGAAGAUUGAGUAACAUCAAUUGGAGGACCGAACACACGUAUGUUGAAAAAUGCGGUGAUGACUUGUGGCUGGGGGUGAAAGGCCAAUCAAACCGGGAGAUAUCUGGUUCUCCUCGAAAGCUAUUUAGGUAGCGCCUCGUACGAAUACCAUUGGGGGUAGAGCACUGUUAAGGCUAGGGGGUCAUCCCGACUUACCAACCCUUUGCAAACUCCGAAUACCAAUGAGUACUAUACGGGAGACACACGGCGGGUGCUAACGUCCGUCGUGAA